rnacentral:lncRNA from 1 species
GGAGCAAGGUGUGUUAAACACUUCCUCUACUCGUAAAUCGGAAAAAAAUGAAAUAAGAGACCUUUGGUGCCACACGAACGUGAGUUCACUCGUGUGGUAGUUCGAACGCAAAAACAUGGGCGUUGGAUCUAGAGGCCACUAUGAGUGAUCUCAUGGGCUUAGGCCGAUUUAGGCCAUAUUGGGCCGAAAUGGGCUGUGCAGGUCCCACACAGGUAAACCACAUGAAAGUAUGGAGAAUAUUGGGCUGGACUAUGUAGUUCACAUGGCCAGGGCAAUUUUUGGGCAUAGUGGGCUACACGAGC